UCCUACGGGAGGCAGCAGCUAAGAAUCUUCCGCAAUGGGGGGAACCCUGACGGAGCGACGCCGCGUGGACGAAGAAUGCCGGAAGGUUGUAAUGUCCUUUUCCUGGGGGAGAAUAAUGCUUCGAGGGAAUGCGAAGCAGAUGACGUGAACCAGGGAAUAAGCCCCGGCUAAUUACGUGCCAGCAGCCGCGGUAACACGUAAGGGGCGAGCGUUGUUCGGAUUUAUUGGGCGUAAAGGGCGUGUAGGCGGUAAUGUAAGCCUGGUGUUAAAUACCUCGGCUCAACCGAGGAGGUGCGCUGGAAACUGUGUUACUAGAGUGAUGGAGGGGGAGCUGGAAUUCCUGGUGUAGGGGUGAAAUCUGUAGAGAUCAGGAAGAACACCGGAGGCGAAGGCGAGCUCCUGGCCAUUAACUGACGCUGAGGCGCGAAAGCGUGGGGAGCGAACAGGAUUAGAUACCCUGGUAGUCCACGCUGUAAACGAUGUGCACUGGGUGUUGGUCCGUUGAGGAUCAGUGCCGUAGCUAACGCGUUAAGUGCACCGCCUGGGGAGUAUGCUCGCAAGGGUGGAACUCAAAGGAAUUGACGGGGGCUCGCACAAGCGGUGGAGCAUGUGGUUUAAUUCGAUGAUACGCGAGGAACCUUACCAGGGCUUGACAUAAACAUGACGGUUGUAGAGAUACAGCUUCUCUUCGAGCGUGUUUACAGGUGCUGCAUGGCUGUCGUCAGCUCGUGCUGUGAAGUGUUGGGUUAAGUCCCGCACGAGCGCAACCCCUACUGUUCUGUUGCCAACAGUAAUGCUGGGGGACUUCGAACGUACUGCCGGGUGAC
rnacentral:rRNA from 1 species